GCGCAUGUGGCGUAAUUGGUAGCCGCGCCAGACUUAGGAUCUGGUGGAGUGAUCCGUGGGGGUUCGAGUCCCUCCAUGCGCACAA
rnacentral:tRNA from 1 species